GCGUGAGGCGAACGCAGUGAUCCGUCGGCGAUGCACGGUCGCCGAGUCGGCGGGGAGCGAGUGGCGAGACCGACGCCUCCUCU
rnacentral:ncRNA from 1 species